UGGGGAAUUUUGGACAAUGGGCGAAAGCCUGAUCUAGCCAUGCCGCGUGAGUGAAGAAGGCCUUCGGGUUGUAAAGCUCUUUUAGUCGGAAAGAAAGAGUUGCAAUGAAUAAUUGUGAUUUAUGACGGUACCGACUGAAAAAGCACCGGCUAACUACGUGCCAGCAGCCGCGGUAAUACGUAGAGUGCGAGCGUUAAUCGGAAUUACUGGGCGUAAAGGGUGCGCAGGCGGUCUUGCAAGUCAGAUGUGAAAGCCCCGGGCUUAACCUGGGAAUUGCGUUUGAAACUACAAGGCUAGAGUGCAGCAGAGGGGAGUGGAAUUCCAUGUGUAGCAGUGAAGUGCGUAGAGAUGUGGAAGAACACCGAUGGCGAAGGCAGCUCCCUGGGUUGACACUGACGCUCAUGCACGAAAGCGUGGGGAGCAAACA
rnacentral:rRNA from 1 species